GGUUAAGCGACUAAGCGUACACGGUGGAUGCCUAGGCAAUCAGAGGCGAUGAAGGACGUGCUAAUCUGCGAUAAGCGUCGGUAAGGUGAUAUGAACCGUUACAACCGACGAUUUCCGAAUGGGGAAACCCAGUGCAAUUCGUUGCACUAUCGUUUGAUGAAUACAUAGUCAAACGAAGCGAACCGGGGGAACUGAAACAUCUCAGUACCCCGAGGAAAAGAAAUCAACCGAGAUUCCCCUAGUAGCGGCGAGCGAACGGGGAGCAGCCCAGAGUCUUAAUCAGCAUUAGCAUCAGGAGAACGGUCUGGAAAGUCCGGCAGUAAAGGGUGAUAGCCCCGUAUCCGAAGGUGUUAGUGUUGUGAACUCGACGAGUAGGGCGGGACACGUGUUAUCCUGUCUGAAUAUGGGGGGACCAUCCUCCAAGGCUAAAUACUCCUGAUUGACCGAUAGUGAACCAGUACCGUGAGGGAAAGGCGAAAAGAACCCCGGCGAGGGGAGUGAAAUAGAACCUGAAACCGUGUACGUACAAGCAGUGGGAGCCUUGAUUUAUCAGGGUGACUGCGUACCUUUUGUAUAAUGGGUCAGCGACUUAUAUUCUGUAGCAAGGUUAACCGUAUAGGGGAGCCGUAGGGAAACCGAGUCUUAACUGGGCGAAUAAGUUGCAGGGUAUAGACCCGAA
rnacentral:rRNA from 1 species